AUUGAACGCUGGCGGCAGGCCUAACACAUGCAAGUCGAACGAGUGGCGGACGGGUGAGUAAUGUCUGGGAAACUGCCUGAUGGAGGGGGAUAACUACUGGAAACGGUAGCUAAUACCGCAUACCAUCGGAUGUGCCACGAGGGGAUUAGCUAGUAGGUGGGGUAACGGCCUACCAAGGCGACGAUCCGUAACUGGUCUGAGAGGAUGAUCAGUCACACUGGAACUGAGACACGGUCCAGACUCCUACGGGAGUCAGUAGUGGGGAAUAUUGGACAAUGGGCGAAAGCCUGAUCCAGCCAUGCCGCGUGUGUGAAGAAGGUCUUCGGAUUGUAAAGCACUUUAAGUUGGGAGGCGUUACCCGCAGAAGAAGCACCGGCUAACUCCGUGCCAGCAGCCGCGGUAAUUC
rnacentral:rRNA from 1 species